GUUUCUGUAGUGUAGUGGUUAUCACGUUCGCUUUACACGCGAAAGGUCCCCGGUUCGACACCGGGCGGAAACA